GAAGAUAGAGGUGCGAAUUGCAAUAGUACUAAUCAAGAGGAUGAAAGAUCCAUUGAGGGAUUAGGAAAGGGUUGUUCGCCGAAAUAUAGAAGAGCUUUUCCUUUUCUAUGUUGGUUCUGUAUUUAAGAGAUGCAGGAUUGUCAGAAUAUAUAUUCUGGAGGGCUAUCU
rnacentral:ncRNA from 1 species